UCUGCGUUCCCAGUACUGGCUCACAGAAUCUGGUUGAAUCACCAAAAUGUGAAGACAAGCCUUCAGUUCCCUUCUUGACCACCAGCAUGGAACUAAACAAUUAAACCUGUCAGAAAAAAAAAAGCUGCUGUAUUUUAAGGUACAGUUUCAUGCAUUGUUUUACUUUCUCUCUGGCUACUUAUAGGAGCUUGAAAAAAUAAAAAGGCCAGGAAAUAUGUACCCUGGGAGCCA
rnacentral:lncRNA from 1 species